AGUCGAGCGGAACGAGUUAUCUGAACCUUCGGGGGAUGAUAACGGCGUCGAGCGGCGGACGGGUGAGUAAUGCCUAGGAAAUUGCCCUGAUGUGGGGGAUAACCAUUGGAAACGAUGGCUAAUACCGCAUGAUGCCUACGGGCCAAAGAGGGGGACCUUCGGGCCUCUCGCGUCAGGAUAUGCCUAGGUGGGAUUAGCUAGUUGGUGAGGUAAGGGCUCACCAAGGCGACGAUCCCUAGCUGGUCUGAGAGGAUGAUCAGCCACACUGGAACUGAGACACGGUCCAGACUCCUACGGGAGGCAGCAGUGGGGAAUAUUGCACAAUGGGCGCAAGCCUGAUGCAGCCAUGCCGCGUGUGUGAAGAAGGCCUUCGGGUUGUAAAGCACUUUCAGUCGUGAGGAAGGUGGUGACGUUAAU
rnacentral:rRNA from 1 species